GAAGGCGGGGGGAGUUGAGGAGAAGGAGGGGAGGGAGGGGGCGGCGGCGGCGGAGGUCGGCUCUGAUGCAGCAGAGGUGGUGGUUGGAGAGGUAGAAAGGGCCCGCUCCAUCCCGGGCGCUCUGCAGAUGGCGUCACCAAUGGCCUUUGCAUUGUGGGGCGGGAAGUUUUCGGCGUCAUCUCCUCCUUUCUUAUAGGUAGAGGUCUGGCUGACGGAAACUACAACUCCCGGCAGCUCCGGCUCAUCUGGCGGCAGUUUGCGGGGCAGUGUGGGAAUUGUAGGCUCAGCCGCUCGUGAUUGCCAGAAGCUGCGCUGGCCUUCGUCGUCCAGUCACUGACGCGCUCGCUUUGAAUCAGCAGGUCCCAGCACGUGCCCGAUUAUAAGAACCAUCUGUGAGACUGAGUAAAAGUAUACAUUAACAGAUGCGACAAUGGAGACAGAGUUUGUUGCCCUGGUCACAAAGCUAAAGGCUGAAGAGGAGGCUUUGAACUCAGGUUUUCUGAAUACAGAUCUUGCAGCGUUUAACCCAAGCUAUGCUACCUCCUCACAUCUAGCAGGCAUCAUACACUAGUCUUCUGGGUUCUGUGAAGAAGAAAAGAGGAAUAAAGAGGACAGCAUCCUCCCUUUUAGCAACUUCCUCUCUCAGUGGGAACCUGCUGUGUGAUGGGAACUUUCUGUCUGGAGACGUUCGAGACAGACCACAGUAUGUGACUGUCUGUAUGCAGUUCAUAGCCAGAGAGAACGGCUCAGGCCACAAAUGCUACUAGACACCAGGGUCAGUGUGGGCUGGAGGAAGGCUCCACAGAUAGUGCGGUGCUUAAACUGAGCCUUGGAGUUUGGAAUGAUCUGGAAUUGGAAGGGCGGGCACUCCUGAUUCUGAUCAUGGGACCAACCCGUCUCUUCCCAGAUUCCCAUUCCCGCACUGUGUAGACCUGCCUUCUUGUUUUCUUGCCCUUCUCCUCCUCAUGGCAGCCCCCAACCCCUAAGUCUUUCUGGCAUUGGACCUUUCCUCCCCUCUUCCCUCUCACUGGAAGUAACCAGCCCUGUCACUCAUGCUCAUGGCUCGGAUGUUUCCCUUGGCGCUCCCAGGAGAUCCUGACGUCCUCAUGCAGCAGAAGUAACGUGGUGACAGAUCAGGCGUGCACUGGAGUUCACACUGACCUGAGUCUGGAUCGUCUUCUGCUCGGGACUUGUGGACCUGGGCAAGCUGAUCAACCGGAUCGGGUCUCUAUAUCAUCUCCGGUACUGGGGGCUGAUGAUCCCUACUUCAGGGCUAUUUUCUGGAUGACGUGAGAUAAUGCAUGGGUAAAAGGUCUAGUGCAAGUAGAAAUACCCCCAAAAUACUGGUCCCAGCUUUGCCUCAGUUCAUUUCCGCCAAGUCUGAUGGCAGAGGGGACCAGUGGGGGAGAGAGAAGUGUGAAAGCAUUCACACUGGGGAGUCUGAUCACACUGGCGUUGGUCCUGGUUCCCGAUUCUAGGAGAGGUGUCUUUUGGACAAGUGACUUAUCCAGAGUCUUCCCAAUUGCUGUGCCCUGCAUGAAACUGGAUAAUGUAUGUGAAGGGUCUCGCCCAGUGGCUGACGUGUAGAAAGUCUGAGCAUGACCGUCAUGGCUGAGCCCAGGCCACAGAAACUGAACCCCUUGGCGGCAUCAGACAGAACAUGUAUACCGACCUUAGGAAGAGGAUGAAACACUUUGGAAAUGAUGGAUCGUCUCCGUGAAGUCUUCACACAGGUGUUCCCCAACUCUAGUAGAGGUCCCUGUGGGCGAGAAGCAUUUGGAAAGAGGACGUGGGAGCCCCAGCGUGACUGAUUUUCUUGAGUUGCCCUUUGGAACUCACACACAACAUUGUGUCCUCAGAACUCACACAAUGCCGAGAGCUCAUCACGUAUCGAGAACAGAGUAACCAAACCCGGGGCAGCUGGCAUCGUGGGGCGCUUUGUUUGCUAACCUGACAAACAAACCCAGCGCACUGACAACAGCCCGCCGGCCUGCUUCAGGCAGCACAGAGCCCAGGGACGGGGAGCUCUCCUUGCCUGCUUGUUGGAGUGACAGCAGCAGAGAUCAAAGUUUAAUGCACCGAUUAUCUUUCUGUUUUCAGGGGCCCAGCAGGAUUGAAUGGGCUGCCUCAUCCAAGGAGGCCACAGAGGGUGGCCGGGUGGAACUGAAAAAGGAAGGAGACUCGGCUGAGACAAGGCCAACGCCACCGCAUUUUUCACCAGGCUUUGAGUGCCGGGGGGCCUUCCCGGGGAACUCGGCUGUAGGGCCUGCUUCCAUAUCUUCAGGCUGCUCUGGUCCACGAAGGUUUGGCAGGCAGGAGGCACAGAACAGAGGGACCCAACUGAAUAAACCCUCAGAAAUAGAACUGCUUGAGGGAAAACCAAAUAAUAUCUGGACAUCUUUUCGUGCUUCUAGACCUGCUUAAAAUGCAUGCAGCUAACAGAGCCUCUGCCCUUACUGUUGGAAAAUGGGCCAUGCAGCUGAUACCAGGAAAGAAUAUGCUCACUCCCUCGCCCUUGAUUAUAUGUCACAACAGUAAUUAUUAUGAUGAUAGUAACAACAAAAGCAGCUCACACACAUUGAGUGCUUACUGUAUGCCAGGCAGUCUACCGAGCACUUCAUGUAUGUUAAUGCAGGCAGUUCUGGUUUUAAUCUUGAUUUUCUUUAUGAAUUUGUUCUGUGUCCUUGAGGAAGUUACCCACCUUCUCUAAACAAAGAGAUAUUUACAUGCAUUUCAUAGGUUUUUGGAGAGAAUUAAAUAUAAUUAUGUAAAGUGUGAAGUAUAUAGCAGGUGCUCUGUGAUGGUGACCAAUAUAAUUUUAAUUAAUAAUGUGAACUUUCCUGUUUAUUUUUUUUUUUUGUACCUGUUUCCAAAGGUCUUGCCUUCCUAGGACCUGUCCUUCUGAAACAGGGAAUGUAGAGAUCCACCUUCUCUUUCUGGACGAACUCCUACUUAACCCUCAAGACCCAUUUCAAAGGUUUCCUACACUGUGAAACCUUUGUCAGUUUCCACAGUACAAAACAUACUGCACAUCCUGGCCCUCAUCACAUCGUAAUUGGGUCUGUUUAUGGUCUGUCUUCUUGGAAAGCUUGGAAGUUUCUGGAGGUACAGUCAAUAUCUGCUGUGCUCCCCUAGCUUAGUGGUUUUCCUGGUGUGGUCCGCAGACUUCUGGGGGUCUGCGAAACUCUUUCCGGGGGUCCUUGAGGUCAUUACUGUUUUCAUAACUCUGGGACAUUAUUUGCAUUUUUCAUUCUAUUGACAUUUGUAGUUGUGGUGGGUAAGACUGCUGGCAUUGGUUUCAAUCAAGGAUAUGACAUCAAAAUGUACGAGGAACCGUAUCCAUCACCAUCAUACAGUUAAUGUUAAAACACAUGCCAAUUUCACUUAAGAAUGCCCUUAAUGAAGUAGGAAAAUGAUGAACUUUAUGAUAUCUCGACCCCUGCCUUUUUAAUAAUCAGUAUAGAGAAAAGUGGGAGCGUACGAAAGCGCCGUGGUUGUGAAGGUAAUGUCAAGGAAACGCACAUGUUUGUGAUUGAAUUGUGAGCUGAAUUAGUCAUUGUGUGUUCAUGACACAUGCUUUUUACUUGAAAGAACAACUGACAAACACCGUGGUGGUUCAGAUUUGGGCAUUUGGCAAUUGUCUCUCAAAAAUGAAUUCAGUGAGCCUGUCACUUUUAAGGAAAGCAGUGUUUGUUACCAAUGAGAAAGUUCAAGCUCGGUGGAAAUCAGAAGUUUGGAAAACUUGAUCUGGCAUUCUGAACUCGUUACAUGUCCUCGAAGAGAACUGCAGUGAUACUAGUGAGUCGGAAUUUUUGAUACUGUAUAUUGAAAUGUGUAAAUGUUUGGAAGAUCUGCAUGAGUCUGAGGCAGUUGUUUUCAAAUCGAACACUCAAGAUGUUAUAAAAUCACUGAUGGGUAAAAGACCCAUUCAAAGCGUGAGACAGUGCGCCUGGGUGGUGCAGUCAGUCGAACGUCCACUCUUGGUUUUGGCUCCGGUUGUGAGCUCAGGGUCAUGAGAUCCGGCCCUGCGUCGGGCUCCACGCUCAGCAUGGAGUCUGCUUAAGACUCUCUCCCCCUCUCCCUCUGUCCCAUGCCCUCAACGCAUGUGUGCCCCCCCCAAAUGAAUAAAUAAAUCUUAAAAAAAAAAAAAAGUGCAAGAUGGACCAGUGGAUUUUACUGUGGCAUAGUAGAAAAGUUCAGCAACACGAUUUCAGAUUUUAUAUCACAACAACCCAUAACAAAAACUUGUCAAGUGUGUCUGUUGUACCAAAGAAUAUCCAUUAUUAUCUGAAAAGGCUAUUAAAACAGUGCUCCAUUUUCCAGCUAUGUAUCUGUGUGAGGGUAGGUUUUCUCUCUACAUUUUAGCCGGAACAAGCUAUCGGAGCAGACUGAGUACAGAAGCAGAUCUGAGAGUCCCGCUGUCCUCCACUAAGCUGGACGUUAAAGAGAUUGGAAGGUAUGUAAAACAAUGUCGCUCUUCUCACUAAACAUCAUCGUUCUGUAAACUAGAGUUUAUUUUUGUACAAUAUGAAAAUAUUUCUAUUUCAUGAAAUAGGCGACACGCUGACGUGUGUGGGUUUGUUAUUGUUAUUUUUAAAUGAAUAAAUGAAUACUC